rnacentral:rRNA from 1 species
AAGGUUUCCGUAGGUGAACCUGCGGAAGGGAUCAUUACCGAGUGAGGGCCCUCUGGGUCCAACCUCCCACCCGUGUCUAUCGUACCUUGUUGCUUCGGCGGGCCCGCCGUUUCGACGGCCGCCGGGGAGGCCUUGCGCCCCCGGGCCCGCGCCCGCCGAAGACCCCAACAUGAACGCUGUUCUGAAAGUAUGCAGUCUGAGUUGAUUAUCGUAAUCAGUUAAAACUUUCAACAACGGAUCUCUUGGUUCCGGCAUCGAUGAAGAACGCAGCGAAAUGCGAUAAGUAAUGUGAAUUGCAGAAUUCAGUGAAUCAUCGAGUCUUUGAACGCACAUUGCGCCCCCUGGUAUUCCGGGGGGCAUGCCUGUCCGAGCGUCAUUGCUGCCCUCAAGCACGGCUUGUGUGUUGGGCCCCCGUCCCCCUCUCCCGGGGGACGGGCCCGAAAGGCAGCGGCGGCACCGCGUCCGGUCCUCGAGCGUAUGGGGCUUUGUCACCUGCUCUGUAGGCCCGGCCGGCGCCAGCCGACACCCAAC